rnacentral:rRNA from 1 species
AUAGAACGCUAGCGGGAUGCUUUACACAUGCAAGUCGAACGAGUGGCGGACGGGUGAGUAAUAUAUCGGAACGUGCACAGUAGCGGUGGAUAACUACUCGAAAGACAGGCUAAUACCGCAUACUAUCGUAGCGGCCGAUAUCGGAUUAGCCAGUUGGUGGGGUAAAGGCUCACAGAGGCAACGAUCCGUAGCUGGUUUGAGAGGAAGACCAGCCACACUGGGACGGGGGCAGGGCCCAGCCUCCGACGUGAGGCGGCAGUGGGGAAGUUUGGACAAGGGGGGCAACCCUUAUCCAGCCAUCCCGCGUGUAUGAGAAGGCCUUCGGGUUGUAAAGUACUUUUGGCAGAGAAGCGGUAUCUGCAGAUUAAGCACCGGCUGACUACGUGCCAGCAGCCGCGGUAAUAC